UACGAAGGGGGCUAGCGUUGCUCGGAAUCACUGGGCGUAAAGGGUGCGUAGCGGGUUUUAAGUCAGAGGUGAAAUCCUGGAGCUCAACUCCAGAACUGCCUUUGAUACUGAGAAUCUUGAGUAUGGGAGAGGUGAGUGGAACUGCGAGUGUAGAGGUGAAAUUCGUAGAUAUUCGCAAGAACACCAGUGGCGAAGGCGGCUCACUGGCCCAUAACUGACGCU
rnacentral:rRNA from 1 species